rnacentral:pre_miRNA from 1 species
GGGGGGAGAGUCGUAUCCUGAGCUGUGUCCCCCGGCACCCUGUGCUCCGGGGCCUGCACUGCUGGAAUCGCGCUCCCGGCUGCGCAGCCCACU